rnacentral:lncRNA from 1 species
GGGUAAGAAAAGAGAUACCCAUCCCCAUACCCAACGGAUUCGGAAAUACCCGUGGGUAACCCAUUUCCCCAUACCCAAUCCAUACCCGCCCCAUACCCAACCCAUACCCAUCCAUUCUAUACCAAAAAAAAAAGUAAAAUAAUUUUAUGCAUAUUAUCAAUCAAAAAUAGAAUUACCAAUUAUAUAUAUAUACAUACAUAUAUACGUACAUACACACUUCUAACACACACACAUACAUACAUGCGUACAUAUAUGCAUGCAUACAUAUACAUACAUACAUAUAUAUAAUUAUAUAUAUAUAGAGAGAGAGAGAAAGAGAGAGAGAUCAUAUAUAUGUGUGUGUAU